AUCAACCUAAGGUUUUAGUAAGGACUACAUUUCAGGAUAGUCCUUCUUGGAAAAAACGGAUCUUAGAUAAUAAUUGUCGUUAAGGAACUCGGCAAAUUAAGCUAUCACGCCUGUUUCCCAAAAACAUGGCCCUCCGCGCAAAUAAUCACGGGAGGUCAUACCUGCACAAUGACCUACGGGUUCAAUUGCCGCGGUAACCUGACCGUGCAAAGGUAGCGUAAUCAAUAGCCUAUUAAUUGUUGGCCUGUAUGAAUGGUCUUACGCUGGUGGCGCUGUCUCAACGGCAUUAGUUUGAAUUUAACCUCUGGGUGAAAAGGCCCAGAUAAGCCUAAAAGACGAUUAGACCCUAUCGAACUUUAGGUAGAUAGGCUACUGGGGCCUUAUUAAGAUAAGAAGCCACCGGUUGAGUUUUUAAACCUUUGGUUGGGGUAACCGGGGACUAAAAAAAACGUCCCCCCCUUUUUCGUAGUAGACACCCGUAUGAUGAGGGUAAUAAAGAUUUUACCUUUAGGGCAAUUGGCCUAAAGGAAAGUAACCUAAUAGGAAAUAUUAAAAAAAUGAACAAUUUAUGUAUUACUUGUAUAAUGAACCUAUGGACCUAUAAUAUUAUAUAGGUAUCCGUUAAUUGGGAAGAGUUACCGUAGGGAUAACAGCGUAAUCUUCCCGGCGAGACCACAUUAAGGGGAAGGUUUGCGACCUCGAUGUUGGCUUAGGGCCUCCUAGAAGUGCAGGGGCUUCUAAGGGUUGGUCUGUUCGACCAUUAAAGUCCU
rnacentral:rRNA from 1 species